UGAAAGGGUCAAUUUUUUUAAAAAAAAUGAAUCUUUCAUUUUCUUUCUUUUCCAGAAAUGAACAGUAGCCCUUCCCCUCCCAUUUUCUUCAUUUUUAGAUCUGCCAGGGUUUCAAAAGAAACUCAUUCAUGCGCCGUCAUCAUGCCUCCUUGAAGCCACCGUGGUUUCCACCAUAGACGGUGGUCAGGGCCACGUGAAAUCGGACCAAGCCUUAGUCGUCACUUUUGGGCUGCUCACGGGUAUCAUCGGCGUUCACGCCUCCACUUCUGUCGCAGUUCACGACCUAAGUCGCGUAAAAACAAGAGGAGACCCCUUUUACCCCCUUUUGGUCUGAUACCCAAGUCGGAGGAUGGCCUCCGACGAUCGAAACCGUAGUAACUCGUGCGUGGUCCCUGUUACUUUUCCAUAAUUGUAGGCGGCAGUGGCAAACCACUGGUAGUGGCGGGCCCAGGUGCAGCGGCUAGGGUUUUUUGUUUCCUUUUUUGGUUGAGAAUUAUUUAGGUGUUGGGCCAUUGGGCUUUUUUGGGGGGAGGGUUGGUCUAAUUGGUUUUAUUAUUAUUAUUAUUUGGUAGGCCCGGGCAAAUUUGGGCCUCUACAAAAAAAAAAUUCAUUUUAAGGAGAUUAGACCAUGCGAACCCCUAACUACACCCAUGCUCUAGUGGAUGCAAUACAAAAAGCUUUUGCCAUAUUUGAACCUCUAAAACGAAAAAUGUGUUACUAUAAAUAUUAUACAGAGGAUUAAAUGAAUGUCUAUGUUACAUAAUGUGGAUGUAAAUCUAAGAUCAGUCACUUUUUUUAAUAUUCUUAUAUAUUUGGAAGGGUGUUAGAGAGUCGUAUUUCUACAUUUAUAUUUGGAUAUUCGUCGUGAAUUUAUGGUGUAAUACUUGAGUUCAAAAGUUAGUCAAAUUUGAAAUAGAAAAAAAAUCAAAUUCAAUUUAAUAA